rnacentral:rRNA from 1 species
GAGUUUGAUCUUGGCUCAGAGCGAACGCUGGCGGCAGGCCUAACACAUGCAAGUCGAACGAUCCUUCGGGAUAGUGGCGGACGGGUGAGUAACACGUGGGAACGUACCUUUAGGUUCGGGAUAACUCAGGGAAACUUGAGCUAAUACCGGAUAAGCCCUUUUGGGGAAAGAUUUAUCGCCUUUAGAGCGGCCCGCGUUAGAUUAGCUAGUUGGUGGGGUAAAGGCCCACCAAGGCUCCGAUCUAUAGCU